AAUGAACGCUGGCGGCGCGCCUAAUACAUGCAAGUCGAGCGAGAAGACGUAGCAAUACGUUUGUAAAGCGGCGAACGGGUGAGGAAUACAUGGGUAACCUACCCUCGAGUGGGGAAUAACUAGCCGAAAGGUUAGCUAAUACCGCGUACGCUCCUUGGACUUCGGUUCAGGGAGGAAAGCGAUACCGUGGGUAUCGCGCUCUUGGUUGGGCUCAUGUCCUAUCAGCUUGUUGGUGAGGAACGGCUCACCAAGGCUUCGACGGGUAGCUGGUCUGAGAGGACGAUCAGCCACACUGGCACUGCGACACGGGCCAGGACUCCUACGGGAGGCAGCAGUAAGGAAUAUUGCGCAAUGGGCGAAAGCCUGACGCAGCGACGCCGCGUGGGGGA
rnacentral:rRNA from 1 species